GCGAAAGAGCGGAUGAUCGUCGGCGACAACGAGAUGUGUGCUGGUAGCGAUGGUCAUUUAUUCCGCAUGCAAUAGCUGAUUAGACCCAACAACGAUAUUGAAUUCGAGUGUUUACCGUGCCGUUCAGUCAUGCAACCGGGGAACAAAAACAACAAGCUCACGGUCGCUGAUCGCAAUGAUUGUGCACUGCACGGUGUCCCCUUCUGCCCAUUUUGCUGGCC
rnacentral:misc_RNA from 1 species